rnacentral:rRNA from 1 species
AGAGUUUGAUCCUGGCUCAGAAUGAACGCUGGCGGCGUGCUUAACACAUGCAGGUCGAACGAGAAAGGGAUUGCUUGCAGUCCCGAGUAGAGUGGCGCACGGGUGAGUAACACGUAGAUAAUCUGCCUUCAAGCCUGGGAUAACUAUUCGAAAGGGUAGCUAAUACCGGAUAAAGUCGAUCUACACAAGUAGAUUGAUGAAAGAUUGCCUCUUCUUGAAAGCAAUUGUUUGGAGAUGAGUUUGCGUACCAUUAGCUUGUUGGUGGGGUAAAGGCCUACCAAGGCAACGAUGGUUAGCUGGUCUGAGAGGAUGAUCAGCCACACUGGAACUGGAACACGGUCCAGACUCCUACGGGAGGCAGCAGUGAGGAAUUUUGCGCAAUGGGGGCAACCCUGACGCAGCAACGCCGCGUGAGUGAAGAAGGCCUUUGGGUCGUAAAGCUCUGUCAACAGGGAAGAAGUUACAAUUGUUUAAUAGAUGGUUGUAUUGACGGUACCUGUGGAGGAAGCGCCGGCUAACUCCGUGCCAGCAGCCGCGGUAAUACGGGGGGCGCAAGCGUUAUUCGGAAUUAUUGGGCGUAAAGGGCGCGCAGGCGGUCUUGUCCGUCAGGUGUGAAAGCUCGGGGCUCAACCCCGGAAGUGCACUUGAAACAGCAAGACUUGAAUACGGGAGAGGAAAGCGGAAUUCCUGGUGUAGAGGUGAAAUUCGUAGAUAUCAGGAGGAACACCGAUGGCGAAGGCAGCUUUCUGGACCGAUAUUGACGCUGAGGCGCGAAGGCGUGGGUAGCAAACGGGAUUAGAUACCCUGGUAGUCG